rnacentral:rRNA from 1 species
UAGACGGAUCUUCGGCCGGGUUGGGCUGAUGNUANYAAGUUGCUGUUUAAACUCGGCUGAUGUAGUGAUACGUUAUUCGGCGUCUAUAAUACCUUUGUUGGGGGGAGUUUGUUUGGUUUAGCUCCGUGGUUUUGAGGUCAGGGAGCUGUCAAUAUCCUGGUUUAGUCAUAUGCGCAAACUGGGGUUAGGGUUACCCCCGUUUAUUGAGUGUGUCAGUAUUCUUGUGUUUGGUGCUUUGAUUUGGUGAAACACCCCGGUCAUUAAAUGCGCGCGUGUGUUUAUGGUAUAAUUAGUAAUUAAAUUAGGGGCAUUCUAUCUCGGGCCCGGCCCGACUGUUUAUUAAAAACAUUUCCUCGCGUAGUUUGUGAGGUGCAACCUGCCCGGUGAGUUUAACGGCCGCAGUAUAUUAACUGUGCGAAGGUAGCAUAAUUAAUUGCCCCGUAAUUGGGGGCUUGUUUGAAUGGUUUAACGUGGUUGGUAGCCAAGAUUGCCCCUUUUAUUGAAUUUAAUUUCACGAGUACAGAAUCUGUGUUAUUUUAGUUAGACGGAAAGACCCCGGGAUCUUUUAUUUUGUCUGGGGCGGAUGUGGGUGUUUCACCCACUUUAUGACCCUUAGUUUAGAGGUUUAAGUUACCCCGGGGAUAACAGAGUAAUAGUUUAUUAGAGGUCCUAUCGACUAGACUGUUUGCUACCUCGAUGUUGACUUGGGUUAUUUUACUGGCG